UCCCCAGGUGUGUCUCGUUCCCUCAUUUAGUGUCUGUGUAUAUAUCCCUGUCUGUCUCAGUGUUGUCGGAUUGUUGUUCAUGUUACGUGUUUGUUACCUGCCCAUGUCUGCCCAUUCGUAUCCUGCUCGUCCCCUGAUUGGUUUGUUUUGUUUUAUAUUUCUGUAUGUUUAUUAGCUUUUGUUAAUAAAGCUCUCUUUUUGGUUAAAAUCGUCAUCUGCGUCCUGCAAUGGGGUCCUCACCGAACCGUGACACGUGGUCAAGUCCGGGUCCCUCCCAGUGUACCCCACGGCACCUGGCUGCUGGACUUGAGUGGGAACAAGCUGACUGAGGUUCACACCAGAUCCUUCGUGGGGCUGUGGUCCCUCAGGAGCCUCCUAAUGUCCAACAACAUCCAAAGUCUGCAGCCACAGUCUUUGUCAUCCCUGCAGUUUCUGGAGAGGCUAGACUUGAGUUUUAACCGGCUGCGUUGGCUCCCUCAGGACUUCGCUCAGAGUCUGUCCUCCCUGCAGGAGCUUCAGCUGGACCACAACCUGCUGCUGCAGCACCUGGACUCUUUUUCACUCGGGAUUUUCAAAACCUGAAGAAACUGGGCCUCAGUCGCAACCGCAUCCGGACGAUGGAUGUCGGGGCGUUCAGCAGCCUGUCUCGACUGAGCCUCCUGAACCUGGAGGGAAACGGGCUGAACGUGCCUACAGAUGUUGAGCAGGCAGCAAAGCCUGGAUGUGCUGCUGCUCAGCCACAACAUCUCACUGAUCGAGACAGAAGCUCUAGUCAUAGUAUGUUUAAAACAAUAUUGGUAGUAUAUGUUGAAAGAUGUCGGAAUUUUUUUUUUUGUAUUUUGACAAUGUCAUAGUAUAAAAUGUUGCAAAAGUCAUAGUAUAGUCUGGUUUUAAAAAAAUCAUAGUAUAGCAUGUCAAUGUUUUUAUAGUAUUUAGAAAAAAAGUCACUAGUACAGGAUGUCGACAAAAUAUUUUUUUUGUUUAGAUUAUGGCCAAUAACGUGAUUUUGAAGUUACAGUAACUUUGACCUUUUAACCACCAAAUUCUAAUCAGUUCAUCCUUGUGGACAUUUGUGCCAAAUUUAACACAAUGCCAAAGAUUUAAUAAAAAAGUCAUAGCAUAGGGAAACAAAAGUCAAAGUAUUGUAGGCCAUAUAAAUAUCAAGUCAUAAGAAAAUCAUAUUAUUGUGUGUCAUAACAUUUUUAUUAAGUCAUACUUUAGUAUGUAAAAAGUGUCAUAGUAUAUCAAGUCAAUGUUAACUGACGCUACAUUGAUUUAUCAACUUUUAAGACUCUACAGACUCCCUGAAAAUAUGAUGGUUUGUAAACUACCCAACAGUAUAUACAAGCAGAGCUGGCAAUCAUCCACCUCAACUACAACAGUAAAAAAAUUCUGCUUUUACAUGAAUGCAUGAGUAAUAUUAAUCUAAUGAUAGUAUAAGUCACAGUGGACAUCUUUAGAGUAAAGUACAUUAUUUUACUGUGUGGUAUUAGUAUCUUUACUUAGAGAAAGGAUUUGAAUACGUCCUCCACCACUGCUAAUGAUUAAUCUAAGGCUUUUAUUGUGAAACUGCUUGAAGAAACCAUGAAAUUUCAUAAACAUAAA